CCAGCGCCGCGCGCUGCAGCUUCUCCAGCUUCUCCAGCGUCACCGACUUGAGGGGCAGCACCUUCGGCUUGCACAGCACCAUGGCGGGAGCGUCCUCCACCGACAGCUGCCCUACGAGGGGGAAGAGAAGCGCCGCGGAUACUCUGAGUACAGCAGAGAUGUGCAUUGUUGGAAUCCAGAGAGUUUCGUAACAUGGCAGCCGCUUGCUGAAAGCCCUGCAGAUGCAAAACAACACUUAUUUAAAGUCUUGAGAAACAUCUUCUACUAAAUAGAAGAAAAAAACAUUUAGGUGAAGCAAUGUUGCCAGUCCUGUUUGUUUAUGAGUCUCGGUUUUUUGUCUUUAAACAUUUAAAUUGUUUUUUAUUUUGAUUUAGCUUUCUGAGCUGUUAAUGUUUUCCAUUUUUUCCAUGCGACAAGAAAGUCUGGAAUCAAGUCCUUACUUUACAAACAAAAAUCUGUUUGAGAGUCCCAUAUAAUCAUGUAGCACCAGACAUGGGGUGUUUAAAAAUAAAGCCGCUUUCAUGAGAAUUACCCAUCCUUAAGGUGAUUUUCUGUUCCGAGUAUAAGUAAAUAUUUUGUUGACAGUUUAAGAAGCUUUUAACAACACCUGAUCUGUGUUUGCUUUUCAGGCAGUUCUUUCUUUUCUUCUGCUUUUCUAAAAAUCUAGAGCUUGUUUCACCUCUCUACGUGCUGACAAGUGCUGAUGAGGUCAGAAACGUGGUGUACCAGCAUGACUGUGACGUGAGUUGAAUAAUGUAUACCAAUGCUUUCAGAAAUACACGUGCAGAUUUCAUGCAAAUGUUCCCUUAAGCUGCUGAGUGGUACCAUGGGAUACAGAGCCCAUCUUCUUCAGAGGCAGGAGGAGGAAGGUGGUUUGGGUUUACUGGGUGGGGUGAGGUGAGGAACAGAAAGCCUCCUGUGACUCCCUGAGGGAAUCACAAAUGCCUCCAGAGCUUGAUGUUUAACCCAAUCCUUGUUUUCAGAAGGGAGUUGGCAGACGGGUGAUUUCUUUUAGUUGAGCUUUUUGAAUAUAGUUAUUUUAAACCUGUCAUUGCUUGAUGCAGUGGUAUCCUCAAGCUGUAUGCACAAGGCAAGAAGGGAGAUGUCCUUAUUCAGUGUGAAGAUUUGUCUUUUGUUGCUACAUGCGUAAAAGUGCCUGGAAAUGUCUUAUCCAAGGAACACAGAAACAGCUUUUUGAUGGACUGCUCUUCCUGCUCUGUCUCUCACAGUGAUGUCCAGUAAAUGCAGCAACCUGACUGCCUGUUUUAUUGCUGCAUGUAAGUCCCAUUCUGGGCUCCCAAGCCAGAUGCUCUAACUGGCAUUUCUAGGAGGUUACUUCUCUACUUGUGUGGUUUGAAUCAUUUAAGUCUUUGGCCUUGUGCCCUAAAGUGCCAGCAGAGGCAUGCUGUAAUUGCCUGUAAAUGCACCGUCUGUCAUAUUAUUGUUUAAUUAUUCCAGCUUCUCACUGCCACGCACUGCUCAGUGUCUCUCUUGCUAUCUUUAUUUAAUUGAGUGGAAAAAAUCUGAGACUUGUGUUUCCCUUACGUCACUUUGUAUUUACCCAGCAUUGCUGGACCCUGCUCUGAAGUCCCAGCUAUUGUAAGCAGAAGUCAGUCUUUUGUACAGAAAAAAUAAUGUCAAUAUCUAAAGCAUAUGUUAGAAAGAGAAUCAGUAUUUUAACACAUGGUAAAUUCAGGCCAUAAAUCUCUUAACACAGUCAAACGAUUGUAUUAUGAUCCCUUGAAACACCGCUCCUCCCCCUGAGAAACAAGAGGGGGAAAGAAAACUCUGAAUAACCAAGCUCUUGUCCUCACAAUGCAGGACUGUUCUUAGCGUGUCGCUCUGUCUGUGUUGCUUCUUUCUUUUCUGUCUACUAACUCUCUAUUCUUGUGUGUCAAACGGCUGCCUCUUCAGGACCCAUCUUUCCCCAGCCCAUCCCUGUUGCUGUGUUUCAGAGUAUUGCUGGGAUGUCAGCUUUUUCUUGGGAUCAGCUUGUGAUGACCAGUUCCACUGCCUACUUGUUACCAUUUCAAACACCUCUACGCUUCCUCCCCGCCUUGCAACCAACCCUUAUUAAUACGUGUUGAAAAAAAUCAUCUUUCAGAGCACUCUCCAACUCGCUCUCCUUGUCCGUAUGGCCUAUAAAAAAACUUGGCAGCACACUGACUGCUUUUCUUUCCUCAUGCUCCCUGCGUCUGUGACAAAUGCAUGUCAUUUUUCUAGUCUUGCAGUUAGCAUUCAGUCUCUGGAUCAGAAGAGUCUUUUUGUAUGCACCCUACACUCAAGAUCAACGCUCCUAUGUGCUACCACAAGGAGAAUAAAUAUUAGGGUUUCUCACACUCACUCUGUUCUAGUUUUCAUGACUCUGGACAGAGUCCUUUGGGGAGAUCAUUCUGCACCUGAAUGAUCUAGUUUUCAGGUUUUCUUUCAGAAAUCCUCAACUGAAAUUUUCCUGUACCUGUGUGUUCCUAUCACGCCUGGCUCCCUGGCUGAGCCAGCAUCGUUGCUGGAGUGGUUCCUUUUGCUUCCCAUAACCAAACUGUAAGAUUACUCAUUUCAUGAUAUUUUCUGAUUUAUUUUUCAUCCAUCUCUUUCCUGCAGGAAAGAGCAAUAUAUUUAAUGAUUUCACCGUGGAAUUGACUUCAGGCUUUACUGCUAUUUGUCACCAUUCAGGAAAUCCAUCCUUAGCUCCAGGAGAACACUCAAUCCCAGCUGACAGUCUGGGAGAGGGAGAGAAAAUAGAUAGCAGAGCUGCAGCUAUUAAGACUAACAGGCAAAUAUUUUAUUCCAACUCAAUUUUCCCUUUUACUUUUAAAGAAUUUCUUUUAAAGAUUUUUUUUUCCCACUUUAUGAGAAUGUUAAUAAGAGUUGUUUGUUUGUUUUUCCUGGGGACUCUCCUGUUCAGCUGAUCUUCAUCUUCUUCCACAGUUCAGACAAUGGAGCUUGCAGCAGUGACAAGAUUUAAUCCCAAGUAAAACCGCUUCUGCCUGUGGCCUUGGUUAACCUGCUGGCAACGAUACUUGCCUGGGCAUGGGGCACCUGGCUUUUUUACACAGCUCAGCAUGGAUGUGCUGCCACUCCCCGUCACUUUUAGGGCACAGCUGAGUUGUUUACAGUAAUCUUAAGGAAAACUUGUAAUAAAAUUGUUCUGCCUUCCUGGGGCCACCACUCCCAGAGACCUUUCCCCUUUCUUGGCUACUGUGGAAGACUCUUUCCUUUCGCUUCACACCCUUAUCAGAUAAAUGUGGUAGCAGUAGGGAGCAGGUUGUCUUCAGGCUCUCUCUAGGGCAGUGUGAGGAUAGGCUACGUUGCCACUCUGUUGUGGCUGUUGAGGACUGGAAGAUCAGAGAAGUGGAAGCCUGCUCCUUCUUUUAUGUGGAAUGGAGACAAGAUAUGCCCAUGUAUGAAGUUCAGCAGAAAAAAACUAGGGCUACUUUCACACUUGUAUUCCUACAUACCGUGCCAUACCAGUCAGCCUGGUACUAAUCUGCACAGACCUUUGAAGGCGCGUGAAACAACAUGCAGUGUAAAUGAAAUCUGAGCCACGCCGUACCAGGUUAUUGGUGCCAGCCAGUUUUAGAAGGGUGACGUGAGAGCCAAGAGAAAUAUGUACAGUGGUAGAUGUCUUGUACCACCCUCAGGCAUGCAGAUUUGCAGUGCUUAUGCAGCAUUGUAGUCCAACAGCAAUGUGCAGCAUGUAAAAAGCUGGUGAACCCAUGGCCACUUAGGCUUAAAUGCACUUUCCUGGGGAGGAAGUGGCUUUUCCCUUGGAAAGCUCAAGUCCCCAGGGUCCACAUGAGGUCAAUGGAAAAAGUGAUUUCUUCAGAGUAUGAUUCAGAGUGCCUAAGCACAAGCUUAUCUUAUUGACUAGAGAGAAAGCUUAACCUUUGUAGAUUUAAACUAGCUUUUGAAAAUACUCAUCUCCUCUUGCCCCUUAGAUCUGGGAGUUAUGCUAGUCCUGGGUGUGGUUAGUCUUUGGUAGGCACACUGCCUACUGAAGUUCAGGUGUGGCAGAUCCAAGCUAAGAGGCACUUGUCCACUAGAGCACAGAAUGUCCUGUUGGGUCCUGCUUUGUCUUUUCCAGUUACCUUGAGAUGUCAGGAAUGAAUUUGCAAGUACCGAAAGAAUGGAACGAAGUCAAGAAAGGUUGGUUUCUUUAGGGACGGCCUGACUGGAGCUGGAAUAAUCAGCAUCUGUUUCAGCUUAGUUUUUUGUUCCAGCCUUUCUCCCCUUUCGAGUACAGACAACGAAAGCCUUUAAUUUGCCCUGUCUUUCACAGUAGAGAAAAGCAGAAGUUUCGAACAGCUGAUUCUAUCCUGUCUAGAAUACCUACACUAACAAAAUAGUUUAUUGUCUGUUGUGAAUGGAAAAGCUCUUGCUUGUUUCUGUUAUUUAUAGUGUUGAUUUAAGAGAAACAAAUUGUUUGAACUGAUUGACUCUCCAUUAGUUUAACUGAAGAUUAUCUUGCUUGAGAGGCUGCUGGAGUUGCAGUUUUGCCUUGGACUAAAUAAACUGAAGAACCGCUGGCUCUGGAGCAGCAUCUCGUUCCACGCAGAAGCUUUCACUUUGGCGCGCCAGUCUCUGUUUUCAAUGUGAUGCAUCUUGUUGCCAGUGACUCUGCUUCUAGACAUUGACAAGUGCUCUGAACGUCCGCGUGCAUCCUCCAGGAGUGGUUUCUGUACCAGCACCCUUCCUCUGUCCCCUUCAGCUCCUGAGUUGGGGCAGCUCUUCCAGCCUUCCCAGUUUCUGUAUACUCAAAAAUAAAAGCAGUGGAGCCAAAGUGAUGUUCAAGAGGAAGAUUAAAAAGCAAUGAUAAAGGCUUGCGCUAUUUGUGUGAUCGGUAUGAUGCUCACAAAAUGAAAUGGGCUUUGUUGUGCCAUCAGCCUCCACAGCAUGCUUCUCUCCCCCAGAAUAACUAAAUCCAUUGCAACUCUUGGCUAAGAGACCAAAGCCAAACUUCUGGUAAACUGAUGAUUCAAGAGAAGGGUAAGGAAUAGGACAAGGCAGGAAGGUCUGGAUAUACUGAGGUGUAGACAAGAGGAAGGUAAAACCUAGGACUGGCAGUUUUGGAGACUUGAGAUGUGAUGGAGAUUGAGAUUCUCAAAGAAAGUGAAACUGGAAAUUAGAGGAAUUUUAUGCUGAUACUGGGUGGCAAGGAAUUGGCAGCAGGAGAGGCACAGAAGACACAGCAGAAUUCUCUUUGCCAGUGCAUGGAGAUGAGAAG